rnacentral:misc_RNA from 1 species
AUGUAAAACAACAUAUUAUUCUUAAUCAAACGCAAAAUGAUAAUGCGCAUCAAGGUGACAGAGGACAGGUGACAGGUCGCGCGUCACAUGACUUCUCACAGCUGUGCCUCGCUUCGCGACCGGCGUCAAGAUGUCGCGCAUGCUAACUACGCGUCCUUCCCCCUCCACUGCCAGCGUAUUCCCUAACCCCCUCCACACGAUAUAAUACAAUCAUGCUGUUGCGUUGGUGCGGACGUGUUUUACGUGUGUCCUUCGGAGAAUUUUUGAGUUUAACCUCUUACAAGGACUUUAGCCGUAGACAAAAUUUAAAGUUGUUGGCCUGAGUAUAUUGAUCGUUGUUCAGAUCAAUUACGGCCAUAAAAAAAUUAAAAAAUAAAUAAUAAUAAUGCUGUUGCGUUCACUGGCAUCCUGGCAUGUGGCAUCUCUUAUCCGGCGGGGGAGAGGAAGGGAGGUUAGGUUGGAUUAAUGCGAGUCUGGCGAUGGUGGCGAUCGUUCGCCCCCGUGACGAGAAACGCGUGUGCGUGUCGCGGUUGCCUGAGCACGGUGAAUGCGUAGUGCGUGCGCGUCAUUAGAGCUAUAGUGGCAGUUGCAACUUGCGGAGCAGACGGACAGUGACUCGCGUGGUAGGACGGGAGGAACAAGUGUCCGCGUGAGAGCGACACGCAGCGGAGCGAAAGAUGGCGAUGGCGCAUCGGAAGGUGCCAAGGUGGUGAAGUGUGAUGCGGCUUGCGCGAGUAUCUUCAGCCUCGUCGUCGUCGUCGUCGUCGUCAUCGUCGUGAUCGUCCCUCGUGAGAUCGCUCGUUGAGCGGAGCGCGGCCAAAUGAUAUGGGAAUUUGCAGCAGAAGACACUUUCUAUUGACGAUAUGCAGCCUACAACUGAUUACCACUAUAGAACGUCAAGUCUUCGACUUUCUGGGGUUUAUGUGGACCCCGAUACUGGCCAACUUCUUCAAUAUCAUCUUCGUAAUUCUAGGAUUCUUCGGGGCCUUUCAAUAUAGACCAAAAUAUAUCAUAUCAUAUUGUAUAUGGAAUAUAUUGUGGCUAGGAUGGAACAUAUUUAUAAUAUGCUUCUACCUCAGUGUAGGGAUACUGGAUAAAGAUAGUGAUAUCCUCAAUCUAGGUACCGGUAGUUUUUCUUGGUGGCACGUAAAUGGACCUGGUUGCAAAGCUGUUUACGAUGUUACGGAACCAGAGCUCUUUAGACCUGCACGUCCCACUAAUGUAACAGAUUGUGUGCUGGACUAUGAAGUGAUAGAAAUUUUACAUGCUGCAACGCAAUGUAUUUUAGGUUUUAUGGCGAUUGUUGGUGGAAUCUGUCUUAGUAAAGUGUUCCUUGAAGAAGAUGAUAGCUUUGACUUUGUUGGAGGUGAUGACUUUGGGUUGGCAGGCCACACGCCGUUGCAUCCUAUGUACGUUAGCUACUCGGCUCUUCCACCACCCGCAUAUUCCCACAAAAAUUCCGCUGAAAAUAAUUAUCCGACCGGCACGACUAGCUCUCACCAAUCUGCCUAUCGCGAAUCGAGCUUUCCGAAACACGGUGGCGAGAAGCUGUUGGGUUCCGCGCGCGGCAAAAGCAACAUCGUCAGUCUCAGGAACGACACGAUCCGUAGUAACAGCAGUCGCUCGUCGAGUCGCGAUUUUCAGAACCUAGACUGUUCGGUCGACUAUUCGAAUCCAUUGGAUCACUUGCAGCGGCCCGUGUCGCCCGUGUACGACGAGUACGACUCGCUGGACAGCGUUGCUAAAUUGAGGUAUCAGAAAAACAAGUUGUACUAUCCGCACCUGGCCAGGUACAGCCCGGUCGCGCGUAUCAAGUGUCGUUCGACCGCGACGAAGCAAGGCAGGAAUCCCGCCAAACCACGACGAGUCUUCAUCGAUCACGUGCGCGAUCAGCCUCUGAGGUCGUUUUACUCCGAUCCGAGAUUGGCCGUUGAUCAGCAGCAAGCAUCGAGUGAGCACGACGGGUCGAAACGAGAUAGCCGACCCUUGUCUCUGUACGCGAGUAACUUUUGAACGACGAGAUCUCCGCCGCGUUUUUUUCUCUUUUGCACGCGACUACUGGUUUCCGAAACACUCGUGUGUCGAUGACACUCCUCUCCGCACACGAUCGGCAGAUAAAAUUGCCCUAAAGGUUCCCUACCGAUCUAUUGCUCUCUUAGCGAGAAGAAUUACGAAAAUUAGCUUAUACGAACUUCUAUACUGCCGCGUAUACGACGUCCACGUGCGUACGAACUAAGCGAAAGAAGAAGCAGCCGCGGCCGCUGUACAGCAUCGAGUACUCCCAGCCGGAGCCGCCGGUCCAGGACGACAGCAGCGUGUCGCCGAAGCCG